UACGUAGGUGGCAAGCGUUGUCCGGAUUUACUGGGCGUAAAGGGCGUGCAGGCGGUCUGUUAAGUGCAGGGUGAAAGCUCCCGGCUCAACUGGGAGAGGUCCUUGCAUACUGGCGGAGCUUGAGGGGGGUAGAGGAAAGUGGAAUUCCCGGUGUAGUGGUGAUAUGCGUAGAUAUCAGGAGGAACACCGGUGGUGUAGACGGCUUUCUGGACCGUAACUGACGCUGAGACACGAAAGCGUGGGUAGCAAACAGG
rnacentral:rRNA from 1 species